CACGUAGGGUGCGAGCGUUGUCCGGAAUUAUUGGGCAUAAAGAGCUCGUAGGCGGUCCGUCACGUCGGAUGUGAAAUUCCAGGGCUCAACCCUGGACCUGCAUUCGAUACGGGCGGACUAGAGUUCGGUAGGGGAGACUGGAAUUCCUGGUGUAGCGGUGAAAUGCGCAGAUAUCAGGAGGAACACCGGUGGCGAAGGCGGGUCUCUGGGCAUUAACUGACGCUGAGGAGCGAAAGCAUGGGGAGCGAACAGG
rnacentral:rRNA from 1 species